CAUUCAUAUCUAUACAUCAUAAAGUCCUUCAGGGUGCUUAAAUGCAGGAGUAAAUAUGAUAUAAGUGACGAAAGGCAGCUGCCAGGUGGAAGUGAACUGCAAAUGGUUAAUGAUAAGAAAAAUCCAAGAGGAGGAGAAGCUGAGAAUUCUGGUCCUAUUUGAUAUCCAGCUGGACCAUAAAGAUCGACCUCCUGACUCACAUCAGGGGUAAUCCAGAGAAACGCUGCUGUCACCGUGAUUCAGAUGGUCAGCGGAGUGUCGUCUCUGAACACACCCUCUGCAGUAUGAUGCAAACGCGACCACAAAAGAAAACACCCAUGUUUACAAGCACAGAAGCCUUUUAUGAAGGGACCGAGCACAAACACUUUUGGCACACUAUGAUGCACAGCUCACACGUGAAGUACAGAGGAACGCAUUAUGGUUCACAA